CCUACGGGAGGCAGCAGUGGGGAAUAUUGCACAAUGGGGGAAACCCUGAUGCAGCGACGCCGCGUGAGUGAAGAAGUAACUCGUUAUGUAAAGCUCUAUCAGCAGGGAAGAAAAUGACGGUACCUGAGUCAGAAGCCCCGGCUAACUACGUGCCAGCAGCCGCGGUAAUACGUAGGGGGCAAGCGUUAUCCGGAUUUAUUGGGUGUAAAGGGAGCGUAGACGGCAGUGCAAGUCUGGAGUGAAAGGCGGGGGCUCAACCCCCGGACUGCUCUGGAAACUGUACGGCUGGAGUGCAGGAGAGGUAAGUGGAAUGCCUAGUGUAGCGGUGAAAUGCGUAGAUAUUAGGAGGAACACCAGUGGCGAAGGUAGCUUACUGGACUGCAACUGACGUUGAGGCUCGAAAGCGUGGGGAGCAAACAGGAUUAGAUACCCGAGUAGUC
rnacentral:rRNA from 1 species